rnacentral:lncRNA from 1 species
UUUUUUUUUUUUUGCAGCAGCUUGGUCGUCGUCGGCGACAGGAUCUACAGCAUGGACGAUAGGAAGGACCCCGCAGGCCCGUGCAACUUCGAGGUGCUGCGCUUUGGCUACGCCACUUCCAGCAGCAGCAGCAGCAGGAGGAGGUGCUGGUCCUGGACCCGCUCUCCAGCUGCGACGUCGCGCCCCCCGCCACCGGCGACGAGAGCGCCAACAGGCUCGAGCGGGCGCCGCCGUCGAAGCUCACGAAGGAGAGGCUCUUCCGCGCCAAGGGCAGGCGGCACAGGGGCGGCCCGCUCGUGUAUAUGGGCGACAGCACGUUCUGCGUCGUCGAGCGCGUCACGGACGGAAAGCUCACCAGGGAGCAGCGGAAGAGGCUCGAGCUCGACGGGCGGCCGCCGCGCCUGCUGCUCUACGUGCGGGUGUUCGGCCUCAAGUACGGCAAGAAAGGGCGGCUGCAGGUGGCGACGUGCGGCCGCCGGGCACGAUGCCACGCACUGCCCGAGGGGACGAACUAUAGGUUGAUCAACUUAUACUUUCAGAAAAUGAAGUCAGUUGCUCCAUAUAAAUUAAGCUCCCUCAAGCUCGAUUUGUCCAUGGUAAUUGUCCAUUAUCUCAGCAAUCAACGCGGAACAUCUAGAAGAUGAAACUUCUUCAGUAAAUCUUCCAACCAGCAGUCCCUGCCUGUCGAUCGCAGUUUCACGCCACACCUGACAAGUGACGAUGGAACUCAGGCUAAAGAUAUGGUGGGUCCCAAUGCCAGUGACACAAAAGUUGUUUUAUCAGCUGGAAUAUCGUAAUCCUCUAUUGUCAGCAUUGAGAUUAGCAUUGUCGUUUGUGACUAGCAGCUUGUGAUACAACUUUCGUCAGUAGUCGUUCAGCUGCAGUAAGCGUGUAUACUCAGUUCAUUUCCCAAUUCCACAACUGCCCAGCGCUCCACGUCGACCGGUUUGCCCGGUCUCGCAUCAUCGCUUCACCCCGCCGCCGGCCCAUCUCCCGGCGCCGCCGCGGGAGUCUACACCGGCCGCUUGCCCUCCCGACGGCAAACUCGCGGUAGGCUCUGCCUGCCCUCGUCGCCGGGGCUUGGUGAGCCCCCGGGGGCUGCCGCUGCCGCCACCGGCCGAUCGCCGCCGCGGCGUCCGUCAACCGUCAGUGUAUUCGGUAAGAAACGGCUGUGCUCGGCCUCAAUACGCAUCUCCUCCUCCGAUUUGGGGAUCUGGCCCGGGGCUUCGUUCUGGGGUUGAAUUCGUCCCCUUUUUCCUAUUUUGAAUUGCCUCCGAUUUGGUUUUUGUGCGAAAUUCUAGCUUUUCAAUGCGGUACGAUCUGUGUACCUCACUUCACUUGGAUCUUGCUUCAAGUCUAAGAUUCGUCCACCAGCGCCAAAUUUUUUGAAUUGGGAGGUUUGCAUUGUUUAUGCACUUUCGUUGGUGUUCAACAGUUGCUUCUAGUUCUGCUGAUCGAUUGAUCGAUGUACGGACAAAUCUAUGACUGUAACUUGUGCCUUAAUUAGUUGGGUUAUUUCUUUUCUCUCAUUUCUGAUGCUACAUUUAUAACAAGAUAGGUUAUAAUUGGCUUUGGCCAUCAACGAUUUGGGGACACACAGUAUUAAUGUGUUGGGACAAUGGGAAUAAAAGCAAUCGGUGCACAUUUUGCUACAUUGGGAGUGAGUUCUGCUAAUGCUGAAGCCAGCAGCUACGUGUUCCCCUGAAACUACGAGAAAAUGCUACUUUCUGCUAGCUCGGCGGCUCACUGCCAAAUCAGCUAGUCACGCCCAGCUAGUUUUGGGUUUUCUGACAAAAAUGGCUUCUUUGAAGCGUUGCAGAUAUCAUGAGGGCUUCUUAGCUAUAAGGUUAUCUGUUUCUUUUUUGAGGCGGACAGCAGGGGAGGCCCCUACUGAUAUUUUCCAUUAAUAAAAAGGGAGAUAUUUACAUUUUACAAGGCCUCAGGCCCAAGAAAAAAAGAGGGAGAGAAGCUUAACGAAAAUUACAUAACCAGUUUUCCAAGUCCAUUUUCAGGGGUGGCUUGGCUCUAUGCAAGAUGAGUCCAAAUUUCUUCCUGAAAAUUGAUUUCCACCUCCCUAGGGAUAAUGGCACACCAUCAAAGAUAACUUCAUUACGAUGAGUCCAAAUAGCCUAGCAAGCCACCAUGACAAUUUCUCUAAAAAUCUUUGAAUUAAAGUCUCUCCUGGCUUCAAUGAUCAUCUCCAUAUUCAUCAGGUUUAGAUUCCAUCGGAUGUUGAGAAAGCGCUAGCACCACUGACUGAAAGAGCAUGUGAAGAAUAGGUGUACCAAAGUUUCUUCAGAAUUACUGCUGCAUAAGGCACAACUAUAGUCGUCUAGGACUCUUCGUUUCCUGCGAAGAAUAUUUCUUGUGUUCAAUCUGUCCCUUAGGAGAAGCCAAAAGAAAAAUUUAUGCCUGCCCCUACAACAUGAUUUCCACAUCCAUUUGAAUACGGGACUAAUAGGAGUUGUGCCCAUCAACUGUUUGUAUGCCUUCUUUGAACUGUAAUCAGGUGAGCCCCAUAUAUAAGACCAUUGAUCUUCCAGAGAUUGGUUCACUGAUAACCCUUGAAUGAGGAAAACAAGUUCAGCCAGUUGAUCACAAGCCACUGGGGACAUUGGUGUGAAGAAAUUUGUAUAAGCAUCCUGUGACAAGAAUUUCUUAACUGAGGCAUUCUUAUUCUGACAAAGGAGAAAAGCUGUGGGAAGACCAAAUUUAGAGCCCCCAAGUCCCAUAAAUCUGUCCAAAAGCAAACUGAGUUCCCCUUGUUAACCUUGCAAGAAGCAAUCCUUAAGAAGCUAUCUGAUAGCGUCAUCACAUCUCUCCACCAAAAAGAGCCUACUGGCCUUUUCAUGUGUGGGACAACAUCAUUUGAAUAUAAGCAGCGCCAGGUGAGGGAGACCCAUGGUAUAAUCUCAUGAUUAUAAAACUUAUGGAGGGAUUUCGUGAGGAGAGAAGUGUUCUGUGUUUUUAAAUCAAUAAUGCCCAAUUCUCCUUGCUCUUUGGAUCUGCGUGCAUCUUUCCAAGCAACUAAACAUCCACCUUUUCUGUUGAUAUCUCCUUUAUCCCAAAGGUAGUGUUUCCUAUAGCAAUCAAUCUGUUGGAUAACCCCAACAGGAAGCUUCAAGGUGCAAAGAUAAAAGGUGGGCAGAGAAGAUAGCACUGAAUUGACCAGAAUUAGUCUGCCAGCAUAAGAUAGAAGUUUGUUCAGUCCCAUCAUUCUCCUCUCAAUUCUGUUUAGUAAAGGCAUAUAUUCAUCAACUGCAGGUCUUGUAGUUCUAAGAGGCAAGCCAAGAGCCCAAGAUAGGUGAAUGGCAUCGAGCCAACUUGACAUCCUAUGGCAGCAGCAAGAGAAGAAGCCUUAUGAGGCUCAACAUUGAUUGGCACAAGAGAGGAUUUCAUGAAGUUAACUCUCAGUCCAGUGGAGACUGCAUAAGUGUCAAGAAUGCUUUUGAGGCUAAGAAGCUGUUGCUCAUCUGCUGGCAUGAUUAUCAAGGUAUCAUCUGCGUAUUGGACAAUAGGAUAAUCUCCCCCAAAACUAUCCCCUAAGGGAUGUUGUAAAAUAUGAUUGUUGGCUACAUCAUUGAUAACUGAUUGUAACAGGUCAGCUGCAAGCACAAACAGUAAAGGGGAUAAGGGAUCACCCUGUCUAACUCCACGCUUGCAUUUGAAUGGUUUCCCAGGAACCCCAUUAAGCAGCACAGAAGAAGAUCCAGAAGAGAGGACCAUUUCAAUCCAUUUAACCCACUUGGCAGAAAAACCUUUAUGCCUAAACAUGUCCAGGAACUUGAUGCUCUAUCUUGUCAAAUGCCUUUUCAAAAUCUAGUUUUAGUAUAACAAUUUCUUUCUUGCUUUGAUGGCAAAUAUGCAAGAAUUGAAAAGCCCAUGCAAGACAAUCCUGAAUAGUCCUUCCCUUGAGGAAACCGUAUUGAUUAGCAUGAAUAACUCUCAGAAUUACCACCUGUAACCUGUUUGCUAGAAGCUUUGCGAGCAGUUUCAAAGAAUAGUUCAGCAAGGAGAUUGGUCUGUAAUCAUUCACUGUGAGGGGGCAGUCUUUUUUAGGAAUAAGAGUGAUGAAGGAUCCCUUGAUACAUUCAAGAUUCACUGAACAGUUCACAAAAGCUUCACAAAAUUUGUAGAAAUCUUCUGAGAUGAUGUGCCAACACUUUUUCAUGAAGAAGCCAUUAAAACCAUCUGGACCAGGGGCAUGGUCAGGGGCCAUCUCCUUGACAGCUCUGUCAAUUUCUUCCUUGGAAAAGGGCUCAUCAAGCACAGGAAGCUGAAUAGCUUGGAUUAGGGCAUUGAGAUCAAAUUGCAUUUCACUAAACUUUGAGACCCCCAAUCUGUCUUUAAAAGAAUUCCAUAGUACACCAACUUUCAAAACAUGAUCACUGACAGUAGAACCAUCUUCUAAAAGAAGAGAAGCAAUGUAGUUUCUUCUGAACGAGUGAGUAGCCAUGGCCUGAAACAAACUUGAGUUUUCAUCACCGAACUUGACCCACCUUACUGUGGAUCUCUGCUUCCAAUACAAUCUCUUUGCUUCCAAUAGAUUCUGCAGGUGAGACUUAACAAUCUUUCUAAAAUUUGAUUCAAUGAGACUAAGCCUUCUCUUCUAACCCAUCCAAGAGAGCUAGAACCCAACUGCAGUUAUUAAUAAGCUUGUUAAGCUUAGAAAGUUCCUUGCUCCACUGUUUUAAACCAACCCUUAGCUGCUUGAAUUUACCACUGAUGGUCUUAGCCAUAAUAGCAAAAGAAAGGAUUUGAGUGCCAAUGCAACUGAACAGUGUCAAAGAAACCUGGAAAAUCUGCCCAAUAGUUUUCAAAUCUGAAUAUCGAAGCUUUUGGAAUGUGAGAGUCCAUUCUGACAACAUAAGGGAUCUGAUCUGAAAUUGGCUUUGAGCGAGGUUUGACACAGGUAGCAGGAUAGGACAGGGACCAUGAUGCUGAUGUAAAAACCCAGUCAAGCUUCUCAAGCAAAGCAUCAUCCUGCAUGCUACUCCAAGUGAAUUGCCUGCCCUCAAAAGGUAUAUCAAUUAAAUCCAGAUGUUGAAUGAGAUCAUUGAAAAGCAACAUGUCACUGAGACAACCUCCAGGCUUGUUUCUAUCUGUUGGAGAUUGAAUAAAGUUGAAAUCCCCAACUAAAAUCCAGUCAUCAAAAGAGGAGGCGUCAAAAUUUUAAAGCCAGUUAACAAACGCAGCUUUCUCAGCAGGUGCAGAGGGUCCAUACACAUUAGAGACAUGAAACACUGCAUCAGAGGCAUUCGAACUGAAUUUCAUGGUGAUGGCAUAAUUAUUUUCAUGGCUCACAUCCCCUCGAAACAGAGCACUAUUCCAAACAAUAAGCAUACCACCUGAAGCACCAAUGGAAGGAACAAAAGCAAACUUGUUCAAAUGCCUAGGACAGAAUUUGGAAACAUAAGAUUGAUCAAAUGAUUCUCUUUUUGUCUCUUGCAAACACACAAUAGCAGCACCACUUCCCGAGAUUUUGUUUCUAAUAUGGUCCCAUUUCUCUUGGGAAUUAAUACCACGAAUAUUCCAGGACAAAAUACUCCAAGUUUUGUUAUGAUUUAUAGAUAAAACAGAGGGGGAAUCCAUCCAGGGAGAGUCUAAGCACACACAAAGACUCAUAAGAUAAGCAUGGGACAUGGAAAACAAGAGAUAAGAGACUCCAGCAAGGUAGCGUAACCAGUUUAGAGAGUUUACAUCCAACUUCCAUCAAAAGAAAGAGUUUCGAGCAGAAUAACCAAAAGAUGUGCCAAACUAAGACCAUUACCCAUAAACAGAAGCAGGGGCAAUGCCAUCUUACCAUCAUGGAUAAGAUCCGACUUACCAUCUUUUAUUCAACAGGUACAAGUGCUUCAGCAGUGCCAAUACCAUCCUGUCAACAAGUUUGCUUGUCACGAAAGGAUAACACACAUCAUGGCAAAGCCUGGCAUUUUAGGACGUAGGUAUGUUCAAUGCUUAGUGUCUAUGCAUUGCACUACUGUAUGUAACAAAUAACGAGUUCUUUUUUCCAUGGCCAUUUGCACACAUCAUAAUGUACUGUCAAUCCUUACAGCAGCAGUGUGCCAAGAUCAAAUGAGAGCAUGCGAAUAAUAUUCUCAGCAGUUGUCGGUGUUAUGCUAGGGUACUUGUUUGGCAUUUCCUUCCCUACAGUUAAUAUAACAAAGGUAAAAAAGGAUCAUCUGCUUCUCUCGUCUUCUAAUGCCACAUGCCCUGUUUAUAGAAAAUCUUGACCUGCUACAUUUUGUAGCUUCACUUUCCUUCCAGCAUUAUAUCCUAUAUUGAAGAUAGAAACUCUGGCAUUACAACCCAAACAUUAUUGAACCAUGCAUGGACGUCUGCAGCUAGUCACAAGAACAAUUCGGUUUCUAACCCAGAUGAAAUUCCGAAGGUACUUUGCCAGUCUUGUACUUUCCUAUGGUUGUUAUGUGCUCAUGCAGUUUGGUGACUAAUCACAUGCUUGUUAUUGUACUAUGCAUACUCUGUGGUCAAUUUUACUAGUGUUUUAUUUCCAUGCAUGAUGUGUAAGUUUCAAGUUCAUGAACACUUUUAGUCUAGGAAAUUCUGCCUACAUUAGCCUUCAUUUGUUAGCAUAUAACACAAUGAACUGAAUAGAUGGUGUCUCAUCAAACAUAUCAGCUGCCUUUUGUUUUAUCCCUUUUUCCCUCUGGUUAAUCUUGCAAAAUUAUUUUCUCAGAUUUAUGUUCCAACAAACCCUAAAGGUGCUGAAAGGCUCCCACCAGGCAUUGUUGCGUCUGAAACAGACCUUUAUCUCCGAAGAUUGUGGGGUGAACCUAGUGAGGUUGGUUAUUGUUUUUGUCACUUCUCAGUACAUUUAACAAAUGACGUUUUUAAAAGUUUUAAAUCUUCCUUUUGUGAGCAUCAUCUAAAAUACAUGAUCUAUACCAUCAGGAUCUUACUAGCCAACCAAGGUACCUUGUGACAUUUACAGUUGGAUACUCUCAGAAGGCAAAUAUUGAUGCUGCGGUAAAAAAGGUAAUUUCUUAGACAUCUAGCAAUGCUUCACCUUAGCGAAUAGAUAGUCUAUAACUGAUAUCAUACAAUUGAUUCAUGCAUCCUCAUGAACUAUUCACUGUCUUCAUAAAGGUAUUCUUAUUUAAAAUAAUAUUUUAUGUCUGCUUUAUCAGUUUUCAGAGAACUUCACAAUUAUGUUGUUCCACUAUGAUGGUCGGACUACAGAAUGGAAUGAAUUUGAGUGGUCAAAAAGAGCUAUCCAUGUGAGUGUCAGAAAGCAGACUAAAUGGUAAGUUACUUAUUUAUGUCUUUGCAACACUGUUAGUCUUUUACGUAUUUGACUGUUGAAGGUUAAAAACUUGUUUCCGCAAGGUGGUAUGCCAAACGGUUUUUGCAUCCUGAUGUUGUGGCUCGUUAUGACUACAUAUUUAUCUGGGAUGAAGAUCUAGGCGUUGAACAUUUUAAUGCAGAGGCGUAAGCAUCAGUCCCUUGUUAUUUCUGUUUUUCUGUGUCCCCUUGAGGAAGAUGGUCUCAAAGCUUUUUGUUUCAGGUACAUUAAGCUUGUUAGGAAGCAUGGUCUGGAGAUCUCUCAGCCUGGUUUGGAACCUGACAAAGGUCUAACGUGGCAAAUGACUAAGCGCAGAGGUGAUCAGGAAGUCCACAAGUGAGCUACUGGAUCUGUAUUGCUUUACCAAUGCUUAGUAGCCACACAGGCGCACACACCUAUAUCCAUUUCUGUAGUAAUAUUUUGCUUUUUGCAGAGUAACUGAGGAGAGGCCGGGCUGGUGUACAGAUCCCCAUCUGCCACCAUGUGCAGCGUAGGGGGUGCAAUAAUUUGUUGUUUGAUAAUUUCCAUCUGUCAAAAUCUGUUUUCACAUCUAAUUUGAUAUGCAGAUUCGUUGAAAUUAUGGCAACUGUGUUCUCAAGGGAUGCAUGGCGCUGUGUAUGGCAUAUGAUUCAGGUGGAGUGUCAAUACUCAUCUCUUAGCUUCAUUCGAAGUCAGUAUGCUUACACAUAGUUAUCUGCAGAAUGACUUGGUCCAUGGAUGGGGUCUCGAUUUUGCUCUUAGGAAAUGUGUGGAGGUACAUUCAUUAUCCAUUAUCUAUUAACCAUAUUACUCUCUGAAGUAAAUUAUACAUGAGUAUUAUCCUGCAUAGUUGUAGGAUAGAUCACAUAACUGGUCGCAUAGAAUGAAUCUUUAAUUUAGUUCUUUCAGGUUUAGGGGUUGGCCAGGUACAGAGUAAGACUAUGGUGGUUGGGGAUGGUGAGGAAAGGGUUGGGGGUUAAAUCAGGCAGUGGAGAUGAGAAGAUGGGAUGAGAUGUAGUUAGAGAAAAUAGAUAAACAGAAGCUGGGUUUCAAUUUCCGAUGUGGUGGACUGGUGGGGCUCUGUUUCAUGAAUCUUGGGCAUGUAGAGAUAUAAAAUUUCAUUGCCCCAUUCCUGGUCUAGUGCAUAUAUAUCAAGCAGCCUAUCAACGAUCAGUCAUUUUUUAGUGAUCCAGGAUUCUUUUAUUUGGUCUUAUGUUAAACAGCCAGCCCAUGAAAAAAUUGGAGUUGUUGAUUCCCAGUGGAUUGUUCAUCAAGUUAUACCAUCACUUGGUAACCAGGUAUGCCAGACUAAUGGUUUCACGUCAUUUGUACAUGGCACAAAGAUACUGUGAUUUCUGAUCCUUUAGCAUCUAUUCCUAUCAGGGCAAGGCAGAGAAUGGAAAAGCGCCGUGGGAAGGGGUAAGCUAUCAAACAAUCACCGGUUGCACAUAAUUUUGCACUUUUCAUACUAUUACUUUCUGACAUGAAUAUGUAAGAAUUUUAUCUUGCUGUUCUCUGUCCCGGUGCCACAGGUAAGAGCACGCUGUCGAAAAGAAUGGGGAAUAUUUCAAACAAGGUUGGCAGAUGCUGAGAAAGCUUAUUACUUGGACCACGGGAUCACACCCCCAAAUUUGACAGGAGCGUAGCUGAGCGCGCCUCAGGAGUCAUGACAAGGUUUCUGUUCUGGGAACCUGGCACCUGCAUCUCCGGUAUGCACAUCCAAGCUCAGCUCCAUGGAGAUGCAAUUCCAUGGCCAGAUUUGUACAGGCAGCCUCAAAUCCUCUUCCCUUUGCUCUUACUUAUUCUUAGCCCUGUUCUCUUGGUUUCAGUCGUAGUGAAACUAGCUCGUAUGUAAGUAACCGAUUUAGCACGGAUCUUGAAUUCUUUAUGUCCAUACUAGUGCUCCUUUCCCCCAUUGUUGACCUGGUGCACGUUGGCAAGUUUUUUCCCUCCCUCGUUUUAAAAGGUAAAUUACUUGCCUUGGAACAGCUCUUGUGCCAUACGGCCGGCCACGCCAUCAGUAUCUUUCCAUGUUCUAGCCACAGAUGGAAAUGGUAAACUGCGAGGUGAAGAAGAAGGAUACUUAGAUUAUUUUCAGAAGCAUUUUGGAAUAUCACUCAUACCAUACACAACAUGUUCACGAGUUUCAUGAGCAGACAUUAUCAUCGAAAGAUGGCAGAAAAUACAUCUUAUUUUCAGAUACUUAGAUUAUUUAGCUGCACUGCAUCACCGGCCAACAUCCACCAGGUUACCGGGAUACGCUGUCUGUAUGACAUGGCAUACGAGUAUACGUACGUGCGUGCAGGUAGGCGAAGGGCAACGGGGUCGGAGCGUAUGCCUACGCGCCGUAGCCGAGGAGGUGGCUGUUGUUGAGCGGGGGGCACGUGCCGUAGCCGUAGCCGCCGCCGCCGCCGCCGGUGUACUCCUGGGUGGUGCUCUGGUACGACUGGUAGCGGCGGCCGCCGGCGAGCUCCUCGUGUUUCUCGUAGGACUCGUAGCGGCGCACGCCGCCGCCGCCGCCGCCGAGGUUGCCGGCUCCGUGCUUGUCGUACUUGUACGCCCCGUAGCCGUGCAGGCCACCCUGCUUGCUGGCCCCGUGCGUCUCGUGCUUGUACGCCCCGUAGCCGUGCUCCUCGCAGUCGCUCUCGUCGGGGUCGCUCUCGCUCUCAUUCUCGCUGUCGUACGCCUUGAGGUUGUAGUUGUAGCCGCCGGCGAAGUCCGUCCUGCCCGCCUUCCCGUGCGCCCCGUAGCCGUACGCGCCGCGCUGGAGACCUCCGGCGGCUUUGCCGCCGUACACGUCCUGCUUGUACCCGUACUUCUGGACGGCGCCGCCGCCGUAGUGAGAGCCGUACCCGGCGUCGCAGUCGCCGUACGACUCGUGCUGGUAGUUGCUUUUCUUCACCGCUCCGCCGCCGUAGGCAUCCUUGUGCUUCUGGUUGUAGCCGUGCUGCUCCACGCCGCCGCCGCCGUAGUGAUGAGCACCGUAGCCAGCGCCGUUUUCUCCGUAGGACUCCUGCUUGUAUCCUUGCUGCUUCUUCACGCCGGCGCCGCCGCCGUAGUAGGCGCCGUACCCUCCGUCGGCUUCGCCGUACUUCUCAUGCUGCUUGUAGGCGGCGUUCGUCUGCACUCCGGCGCCACCACCGUAGUGAGAGCCGCCAUACCCUGCGCCGCAGUCGCCGUACGACUCGUGCUGCUGGUAGCUGUCUUUCUUCACGGCUCCGCCGUACGCGUCCUUCUGGUAGCCGUGCUGCUGCACGCCGUACGCCGCCUGCUGGUCGUAGGCGUACGUCUGCAAGGCGCCGGCAGCACCGCCGUAGUGAGCACCACCAUGGCCCGCGUUGGUUUGCCCGCAGGCCUCCUGCUCGUAGCCUUGCUUCUUUACGCCGCCGGCGGCGGCGCCGUAGUGGGAACCGUACCCAACGUCGGCCUCGCCGUACUUCUGCUUGUAGCCGUGGUUCUUGACGCCGGCUGCGGCACCCUCGCACGUCGUAUACGCCUCCUCCGUGUAGGAUGAUUGCUUCUGCACGGCGCCGCCACCAUGGUAGCCGCCGUAAGACCCUUGGUCCUGCUCCACGAACACCUCCUCCUCCUUGUAGGCCGCCUGCUUCUGCACGCCGCCGGGGCCGGCGCCGCCGCAGCCGGGCUUGUCGUUGACGCUCAUGCGGUUGAUCUCCGUGACGAGGGUGGUCACGGACUCGGUGCUUUGGCGGUGGUAGUUCAUCUGGGGCUUGCUGUUGCCGUAGCCGUAGCCGUAGGCGCCAUAGCCGUAGCCGUAGCCGGCAUUGCCACACUUCACAGUCGCAUCCAUGCUGAUGAGCUAGUUCUCUUUUGCUCUGUGUUGGUGUAUCUGAUCGAUCUGCCUGGGGAAAUCUGGCGUUUUAUAGGCGCCGCGGCGAGAGUGAGAGCAUCUGUGCCCGAUCGACCACUUGCUCCUCUGGAUGGUAAGGUGGCUGCAGGCCGGCGGCAAUGGAUAUGUGCUCGUCGAUCCGUAGCUAGCUUUAUAUCCAGGCAGGCAUCUUGAAAUGCUCGGCCGAUUAGAGCUAUGUGUACCUCCGGCUUUUAUAAUCUAGGCAUCUUAUAAUGUGACGAAGCAUCACGCAUCUACUGCGAUCAUUGGAGUGCGAAAAAGCGAAAAAAAAAUGCAAAAAUAUCCUAUUCGCGAGCCAUAUUUGAUGGACUCCUUUUACCUGCCUAGCAGGAAUGCUUAUCAUCAUGCCUUUACGCGAUGUUCAUCAGUGAUUCUGUGCAUUGUUCGACGAGCGUCACGCGAUGCUCAUCUGAUUCUAUACGACGGUUGCAGACUUGCAGUUGGUAUUGCACACACCCACCGUCACCCCGGCCCCGGCAUCGCCCAACCGGUACUAUCAUAGCCUCUACGAUCGCCUUGACGCUGCCGCUCUGCCUGGCACCACGGUCAAAUGAGGCCUACCUCUAAGCCCACUGAAUUUUUCAUGAAAACCCCACCCCCAAACGACCACCUUCACACCAACCACGUCGGACCUCACCGGAGCUGAGGGGGACGAAUGGAGAUUCAAUCACAGUGCAAAACAGAUGUCAAGAGCAUGAAUUGGACGCUUAUGGAACGACCAUGAAUUUUAGUGUUGGCGAGCGCCAAAACACUACUAGAAUUUUACGCGUCACGAGCAUCGCAACCUAGAAAGAGCGUACUACACGUUUUCGCUCGUUCGCUUGUUUUUUUUUUUGAGGGUCGUUCGCUUGGUAUUUGAUUGUCGCGCACAAUCAGGCCCAAUCCACCACUCGUCUGGUCGGCGCUUCGUUGUCAGCAGCGGGCCGACCUGAUUGAUAUGGGCCUAAUCGGCAUUUAUCAAAAAAAAAAAUUGAGAAUACAAGCCACAAAAUAGUACAUGUAUCAUGUACUCCGUAUGUGCGCUAGCGGCGACACGUUAGCGAUCGAGCUGACGCAGCGCAGUCCAUGCAUGGUGCGUGGCCGCCCGUUGCAGCCGUUAGCGAGUUCACGUCUUGCCAUUGCCCAAAUCCAAGCUGCGGAGAGAGAACGUGCAGAGGAGGAAGAAGAAUGAGCGCCGAAGCACCUAGCUGGGAGAACAGGGCAAAGAGCGAACCGGAAUUGUUUAGAGCCUAUUAGCACAUUUCUUUUUCUACUGAAGUCACAGCAAACAAACCACACGUGCAUUUACUGUACGGGUGGACGCGAUCGACCGGGAGAGUACAAUUUAUUUACGUAUAUACGAUUAUAUUAGCUAGGUUGUCACCAUCAGCUUACGGCCUGUUCGCUUCAGCUUAUAAGCCAGCUGAAAAGCUGAAACGACUGAUUUGUUGUAAGAGAAAAACACUGUUUAGUGACUGAUAAGCCGGCUCAAUAAGCUAAAGCGAACAACCACGUACGUUACGCCCGUAGCAGUCACGUCAGGGCACCCGCCUAGCGCUUUGGCGGCGGGUAAUGAUGUCCGUCGGAGUUGCGGCGGCGGCAGCGGUCGAAGUCCCCGUCGCCGCCCCCAGCUCUGCGGUGGUGCUUCGCGGCGCCGGCGCCACCGUAUCCGUUGCAGGGACCCCUCAACAUGGCUUCUCGAUCGAGCGAAUUGGUUUCGGACUGGUAUGGUGGGUCGAUCGGGAAGGUACGGCUCGGUCGCCACAUGGAUUGGCUUUUAUAGGCGCGCUAGCGCCUCCUCGCUGCCGGUGAUUCUCUCUCAUGGAUGGUUGAUGCAUCGUACGACAGCGGUGCUCUCCGGCCGAACUGGCCUAUGCAGAGCGUUUUACCUUUACCCGUCAAGUCCACUCCACUAGUUAAGGUGAGUGAUAGGUUUCUGCAAGCAUUAUGUUCCGCUGUCAUGCAUAUUCGACUAGUGUAAACGAUGAUAAAGCAGCAAAGAUCAUAUUCGCAAGCCAUAUUUUUUUCACGCUCUGAUCGUUGAAAGUGAGGAAUGUUAGGUACAAUAAAUAUUCUCAAGGCAGAUUGGUCGAAAAAAAUAUUCUCAAGGCAACAUUUGCCCAUGCGUACAAACAUUAUUUUUUUUUAAAAAAGACUAGUAUUACUAAUUGGAAAUAGCCUCCACGUAUCAAAUAUAAAUUAUGUGGUGGAGCACGCCUAGUAAUAACAGUAAAAAUAAAAACGAAAUAUUAUUGUACCAUAACAAAUAUAGAAGUGUGAGGAAAAAAAGAAAUGUCUAAUUUAAUAGAGGAAUAUAGAACGGAAACAAUCGCUUAUAAAAUGUAACUAUGUGCAUUUUCAAAAAGUGAUACUCUAUUCCCUCCGUUUAAAUUAUGAGUUAUUUUAGUUUUGUCGGAAGUCAAACUUCUAUAUCUUUAACCAAACUGCAGGUUGGGCUGAAGCUUUCAGCAUUCAGAGCAAGUCAGAUAACCCAAAUUCCUCCAGAAUCACUGACUCGCAUCACAGACAACUGCAAAAGCAGGCAGUGGUGCUCUGCCCUGGUAAUCAGCAUUUGCUUUUUUUUUCCGAAAAUACGUAGGACAGCUGCGUAUCUUAAUAUUAAGAAGAAAGAUAAUCAACAUUUGCAAUACUGAACAUUUGCACUUGCAAAGACUGAAACACACCAGCUUUAACUUUCAAAGUUCACCAUCUCGCAAGACCUGUUUCCACUACCUAUCACUAACCAAAACUCCACUUCCUUAUGCAUGCAUAUAACGAACAAUCUUCAGAUCACAGAUGGCCAUUACAUCUGAAGGAACACAUGCUGACCACUGCCACUGCAGGACCCUUCCCACUUUUGGUCGAGUGCCCAUUUCUCACCCUCCUCCAACAAGAUUCGCCACUUCUUCACAAAGGUUUGCUGGGUACCUUGUUUCCACGGACAUCUUGUUGCAAAUUCUCUAUAGAGCCCAGCCCAAGCCACCCCUGCACAAAGAAGCAAACAUGUUUCAAGUAGAUCUGCAGUUUUGGAUCCUGUUUUGAAAGAUCUGUCAUAAAAAAAAUCUUCAUUUUCGAAAGGAUUUUAUAACUCCAUAGCUUUGUGGCACCCAUGCUAGUCAUUCCUCUGCAAGUGUAGAACUGAUGAGAUAGAGAUCGGUAGUGUAUGUCUUACAUUUGGCAAUAAAUUUCAUGCUCUCCAUUAGUCAGGCACACAUGACUUUGUGUUUUUCCAUCAGAUCCUCCCACACAAGAGUUUCUGCUAAUUUCUAGGCAUUUUCUGGGCAAUGAAUGCGUCCAAGUAGCCAAUGAUCUUAUGAUAGAACUUGGAAAUGUUAUGUUAGUGCAAACAAUUGAUAUGAUCAGUUUCAAGCAAAACAGUGUGGAAGCAAAAGAAAUGAAUGCAUAAAUUUCUGUCAGAACACAUGUCCACAAGUAAACCAAAUUAAGAUGUUGGAUGGACGACGCACGCCGCCGCCACCAACACCCACCGCCACCGGGCUUCGCCGGCACGAAGCAUCCGGAUCGGGGGCGCCAUCUCAGUGCGGCACGGCGCACAGAUCAAAGCAGCACGGCGGAGGAUCGGCGAGGCGUAAGCGUACCUGGUUGAGGCGAAUACGCGCGCUUUAGGUCCUUGGAGCGAGGGAGGGGAUGGGUUGGAGCGAAGAGCUCGUGCUAGGGCUUGAGGAUGUGGAAGGGAUGGAUGGCUCGAGCCUUGCGCUUGCAGUGACCGACGGCGCUGCGGCCGGCGGCGGCGCUGGAUCGCGGAGAGGAGAGGAGGGUGAACCUGCCCAUACGACGACGACGGAGUGCUUACUUGUAAAUACGUAGGUUUUUUUUUUGCAAAAUAUCGGAUCGCGAUCCAAAUUAGAGACUUUAAAAAAUCCUCCUAAUUUGGAUCGCGAUUAUAGUAAUUGCGAUCCAAAUUAGGGGUGCCAUUGAAAAAUACUUGAUCCGAUAUUUUUAGAAAACCCCUAUUCUCCAGGUCGGCGAGACGUCGGCCGACGAGGCCGUGCUGCCACCGGCGGAUCCAUCCGCCAACAGAGCGCACUAAAGACGCGGCUCCGGCGCCGGCUUCCUCGGGCCUCAGGCGCCACACCCGCGCCGCUAGUUCCGGCUCCACGCCACUGCCUUUCAACUGGAGCCUGCUGCCUGAUUGCUCACCUUCUCCUGCACGCCACCAUGGAGACGACGAGGAGGUAGAAGAAGAGUAGAAGACACAGCCGGUGGAAAGAGAAGAAGAAGAAGGCCUUGAUUGAUGUCGACGUUCGGCUCUGCCCUCCAACGCCGUUAGGCAGAGGCGCCGCCGCCGCCCGGCGACGAGACGGACGCCACGGACACGUACAUCGUCAGCAUGGCCAAUACAAGCCCGGCCGGGGGCCGGCGUCCUCGUCCUCAGCGCCGCCACGUGCUCCACCUCCACACCACCCGCAGUCCCGCACCCCCGAGUACCUCGGCCUCGACAGGGUCAACGGCCUACUUCCUCGCGCAUACCAGCGGAGGCAGCGACGUCGUCAUCGGCUCAUCGGCCUCGUCGACACCGGGGUGUGGCCCGAGAACCGGAGCUUCGAUGACGCCGGGUAGGGCCGGGGGCCCCGUGGCGGGCCAAGGAAGGGUCCAACUUCACCGCGUCGGCGUGCCACAAGUCCACAACAAGCUAGCUCAUCGGCGCGCGGUCCUUCACGGCGUCGUACCAGUCGUUGCGAACAAGGGCGCCGGGCCAGACUGGACCAAGGGAAAGGGGAAGCGGUCGCCGCGGGACGUUCUCAGGCACGGGACGCGCACGGCCAGCACUGCGGCGGGAGACGCGGUGCGGGCGCCGGCCAGGGGCAUGGCGCCGGCGUACAAGGCGUGCUGGGCCGGCGGGCGCUACAGCGCCGACAUCCUGGCGGCUUUGGAGGCCGCGGUGGCGGACGGCGUCGACGUGCUCUCCGUCUCCGCCGGCGUCGCGGCGGGCGGAGACCUCGCGGCCUGCUUCAAGGACGCGUCUUGGCUCGCCAUCGACCGCGAGUUCCACGGGCAAGGGUGGGCUCUGCUUAGCCGAUGUCAAACAUUAUGUAAGCGGCUGCACAGUGGGCACCAUCGCUGAUUCCAAAUUUAAUUUGAAGGAGACAAGCAAGCACAAAUUUUUAUACGGUGGAUGCAGAGCACCGAUCAACUGUGGGGGUACAAUUUAUUUACGUACGAUUAGCCCGGCAUCACCAGAUUAUUAUUUAAGCUGCAGUGCUGUGUACCCCAUGCAUCAACGUGGUGUCUACCAAUACGGAGUCUCGCAUCCAGGUGCACGAGAGCCGGCGCAAUGGCUGCUAGCUCAUGCGCAGCGUUGGCCGCGCUUGAGCUGGGCGUAGCCGCCGCCGCCCACGACCUCCUCUUCGUCCUCGUAGCUGGUCUCUUCGUAGCUCUCGUACUCGUAGCGGCGCCCGCCGCCGGCGUGUCCGUUCCCGUGGCGGCGGCCGGCGCUGUAGGUCUCCUCCUCGCACGACUCCUCGUAGGUCUCCUGGUAAGUCUCGUAGCGGUGGGAGCCGCCGCCGUUGUGGUGGCGGUGCGCCUGCUGCUGCUGCUGCAGGGCGUGGUUGCUGUGGCCGCGGCGGGGGUCGUAGCAGUCCCCGUCCACCUCCUCGAACGACUCCUUGUGCACGGCCGUGUGGUGCUGCACGGCGCCGCCGCCGCCGGUGUGGCGCGGGUUCCCGGCGAAUUUGGUGACGUGCUCGGAGUGACUGCGGUGGUAGUUCAUGUUCAUGUCGGGUUGCGGCUGGCCGUAGCCGCCGUAGCCGCAGGAACUCCUCCGCAUGGCUGCUGGCACGCUGGUGGCUAAGCGAUUGGUUUCCCUGCGCUACCUGUGCCUUGGCAGUUGGCUCUCGGCACUGCAUGGAUCGAUCGGCUUGGGGUUGUGUUUUAUAGGAGCGAUACGAUAUUGCUUUAGGCUACAUGCGUUUUCACUGUGGAAUGUGGAUUGCAGCAUUUGUUCUGGGCUGGUAGUGGUAGGGUAGUAGGACAGACACUGCUCUGACAGUCCGACCUGAUCAAUGGCUUUAUUCUUCUUCGAGUCCAGUCAGGCGAGUCCUCAGGCCUGCACGAGCAUCUAGUUCGUUGUGGGCGGCAUGGCAUAAACAAUACCAAAAUGAUUAAAGCAAUGAUCCGGCUUGCCCCGUAAAUGGUGAUUGGUGAAGCAGCAACGAGAUCCUAUUCGCGUGCCCUAUUUGACGGCUUAUUUUUUGCCUUGCUAGCUGUAGUAGGCAAGUAGCAAAAAUAUGCAGCAGUUGCAUUUUAACCCCACAACGUAUCACGCGUUGGUCAUAUCACCUCCUCAAGUACUACAAAACCGGAUGUUUAACUCUCUAACCUGCACAAAACUGUUUAAAUGACCCCCUGAGGUAGCUUUGCAUGGUAGUUUUGCCACGUUGGCAUGCUGAGAUGGACGGAGAUGCUGGUGUGGAUCGACUGAUACGCGAGCUCUGUUUGCAAGUUGACAGGUCACGGUCCUCUAUCUUAGUCUUCUCCUCCCUCUCCCAUGGCCGCUCCAGCGCUCCACUCAACAUGCUCAUUGUCCUUGAGCAGCGGGAGCCUGCCGACGAGGUCAUCUGAGCAGCAAGUUCAGGCGUGGGCACAGCGGGUUAGCUGCAGCUUUGGUGCCAAAGGUCAGGGCACCCUUGCUGGGUUUGUGCAAGCCCACGCACGACGAUGUUGCUCUGCUCUAGGCCGAGGUUCUCACACAACUGAUGCGGUAGCUGCUCCGCGAGCGCCUCCAGGACGUCGCCGUCGUCACGCUUGCUACAGGGCCCGGCAUGGUUAUCGAAAAUCAUACCGAAAAGAAAUCUGGCCGAGCCGAGCCCGUCCAGACUAUUGUUUCAUUUAUUUUUUCUAUUAAUUAAAGAAGAACGGGAAGGCUGAGCUGACCCAAAAAUGAUCCCGACAAUAUCUAUGUGAUAGUUUUGGGCUCAAAUUUUCGAUCCGAAAUAAAUCGGGCUUUUGUUGGCCCGGUUUGAAAAAUGCUCUAGGUCUAGUUAUAUGUACCAGAAAUCACUAAUAAACUUUGUGAAGGUCUGAAGGGGUGUGAAGAGAGGUAAAAACUUUUCCACCUUUCAUCAUGAUUGCGCUGCAUGCUCUGCUGUGGACUGGAGCAGCCGGGGUCCGGUCCUUCACCUGAUCAUCUCCAACAGAUCGAUCCUCACUUCCUGCUGGUCAUGUGCACCUCAGCUUUUGCUGUAACGACAGCGUACCCUACGAUUCAUUUUGGGGCAAUCUUUGCUACGAUUUUAACUUCUGAGGAGACAAGGGACAAGCAAUCAUACGAGCUGAGCUAAAUCAAACGAGCAGGCCUGAUAUACCAGCCGGUACAGGGCACAAAUUUUCAUAUCGGUGGAUGCAGAGCACCGAUGGAUCAACUGGGGGAGCACAAUUUAUUUACGUACGUACGAGUAGCCCGUUUUUUUGCCGGAUCAUUUUAGCUGCAGUGCAGUGUGUACCCCAUGCAUCAACGUUGGCAUCUACUGGAGGUGCGCCUGCUGCUGGAGGGCGUGGUUGUUGUGGCCGCGGCGGGGGUCGUAGCCGUCCCCGUCCACCUCCUUGAACGACUCCGUGUGCACAGCCGUGUGUUGCUGCACGGCGGCGGCGGCGCCGCCGCCGCCGCCGGCGUGGCAGGGGUUCCCGGCGACUUUGGUGACGCGCUCGGAGUGCGUGUCGUGGUCGUCCAUGUUGGGUUGAGGCUGGCCGCUGCCGUGGAAGGCACUCCUCCGCCGCAACCGCAUGGCCAUAGUGAUUGGUUUCCCCUGCGUUUACCCUGUGCCUUCGCACUUGGAUCGCUAUGGUUCGCGGCUUUGCGUGGAUCAACUUGGCUGCUUGGGGUUCUGUUUUAUAGGGGCGCUAUGAUUCUUAACUGCAUGCGUUUUCACUGUGGAUUGCAGCAUUUGUUCUGGCUGGUAGAGUGGUAGUGGUAGGGUAGGACAGUCAUUACAAUAUUUGCUCCGACCUGAUCCAUGGCUUUAUUCUUUCAAGUCCACUCAGGCGAGUCCUCAGGCCUGCGCAGCGCAUCUAGUUCGCUGUGGGCAUGGCAUGGCAUAUACAAUCCCAAAAUGAUUAAAAAGCAAUGAUCAAAGCCGCACAGAUCCUAUUCGCGUGCCAUAUUUGACGGUCUUUUUUUUUUUUGGCCUUGCUAGCUGUAGUAUCGAAAUACACGCAGCACUUGCAUAACAAUGCAGAUCAAUGAUUUGAAUCAUAUGAAGCUUGCAUUUUUUGUGGCUUGUUAGUGCCAGUCAGUCACAAAACGUGUGCUACGAAUUAUCCGACCAUAAAGUACAACAGGGGAUCUCGCAAAAUGGAAUCCAAGAGAUCAAGAUAACAGUAGUACAGCUAGGAGAAAAGAAGGAAGUGGACUCAAGUUUCAAACCCUAAAAAACGCAGGACCCAAAGAGCGAGCAAAUUGAAAACAAUUCCCACUUAGAGUUACACCCCCGUACCCCUCACGGAGCCCCACCUGCCAGGGCAGGAGGGUGACGAAAAGGUGUGACGAAGGGUGAGAGGACAAAAAACUGGAUGAUAGAAAAUGAUUCUGCUAAAAACCUCUUUUUUCUCCUUACCCACCCGCGCGUACCCUCCCGCGCGCUAAUUACGUUCCUGAUUUUUUGGGUGAGGUCUCCUUCCUUUUUCACGCUCUGCCGUUCCGCAACUCCAUGAUUUUCUCCGUGGUUUCCUUCCUUUUACACUCUUGAUUGAUCGGUAGACUUCCUAUUGAGAGCCUUCCUUUUGAGAGCCUUUAAUUUAAUUUCGUUCCUAUUUUUUCUCCAUGGUCUCCUUCCUUUUCCAUGCUAUGUUGUCCCGCGACUUCAUGAUUUUCUCUACGGUUUCCAUCCCUUUACAUGCCUUUUACAUGCUCUUGAUUGAUUGGUAGCCUUUGUAUUGGGAGCCUUCCUUUUGAGAGCAUUUACUUUAAUUCCAUUCCUAAUUUUUCUCCAUGAUCUCCUUCCUUUUCCAUGCUUUGCCGUCCCGCGACUCCAAGAUUUUCUCCGUGGUUUCGUUCCUUUUUACACGCUCUUGAUUGGUAGACAUCCUAUUGAGAGCCUUUAAUUUAUAGGUAUGGCGAUGGCAAGUUCUCUCCUACGUCCAAGUCUCCUUCUUGCUUCACGUCCUCCUUCCACCGAGGGGCUAUUACUGGACCUCCACACCCUAACGUAGGAACGCAAUCGAGAUCAAAGGUCUACUAGUCCUUCCACUGAGGACUAUUGCCGGACUUCCACAUCCUCGUGGUGGAACUACAUGCUGGAACUCAAAUGGCUGUCGGCACCAUUUGAUCAAUUUUGCAACCGCCCGGCGAAGGAAGGCCACUGUUGUAAGAUCACCACGCCAAUUAGGUAAGGCCCUAAACCUUCAUCUUCUUCCUACUAUAUAAGGUACUUAUGCAUGUUUGAUCAUGUAAUUUCACAAUGUGAUGAUUCCAUAUGUUCUCCACCCUAGACCGCAACGAAACAUUGUCAGAUUGAUAAUCCAUUAUGUUUGUGUACAACUCCAAAAUCUCUAGAUAUCUGAGAGUGAUAAUCCAUGAUGUUUUGAGUUCAUGACAUUGUCUACAUUAUACAUUGAGUUCAUGACAAUGCCCUAUAUCUUGUGUUUAUGCGGCUGACUUUUAGCCAUUACGUAUUAUUCCAUUAUCAUUGUAUCAUGUUACCUGUGUUGCUCUACAAAGAAUGAUAAAUUCUUUUUUUUACUCACCAACAGUACAUAAUCCAUCAGAUCUUUCAUUACAUGAUAUCUGAUCAAGAUGGGUCAUCGAGCCGUGCUUGGAGAUGUGAUGAACACACACGUAAGCGGAGCAUCGAUCCAUGGUGUUAAGAGACCUAGAGAAGGUAUCUAAUUUUUGGUUGAAUCAUAAUGUUCUGGUUUCAUAUUUGGUUGAAUCCCAAUGUUCUGGUUGCACAUAACAUAUUAAGGAGACUUAUCCAUGUAACCUUUUGAGCGCAGGUGAAAAUGUUGAUGAUGCAGAAUGACAGAAAGCAAGGGAAUGAUAUGCAAAUAUGCCAUUGGAGAAGAAGGCUGAGUGGAAUGCAAAGAGAAGGGAAGAUCAUCAGCGUAAAAAGGUGGAGAGACAAUCAAGCAAUGGCAUGCUGGAACCUCUCAGACAAUUAGGCAGUGUCAUGCAUGAACUUCUGGGAGAACCAUCAUGUGAUGAACCACCUCUCAAACAAUUAGGCAAUAUCUUAUACAUUCAUUAAAAAUUGUGAGUCAGUAUAGUAGGAUCCUUAAAUUAUGAUAUAGUUUUUUUUACUUUCACAGGGAUAUCUCAUGAUAUGGAUCGGGUGAUGUUGGUGGGGAUUGGCUUAGUAGGAACCCCAGCUAUACAAGAUCACUGAGAACUUAUCAUAUGCUACCAAUCUUCGUAUCAGGUCUGAUAGUAGUACCUUGACAUGAUGUUCAAUAGGUUUUUUAAUUGAUAUCUUUAAGCAUUUACAAUUUGCAUCCCAGAUCUUGAUGAGAUGCCUCUGGAUGUUCUAGGAUUGGAUGGAGUCAAGGAAACGGAUGACGAGGGAAGGCAAAUAUUGAAUUGUCACAGAGAAGUAAGCAAACAUCUGACUUCGUGUUUACUGGUAUGGCUUAUAUGAAACCCAUGUAGCCCUAGCAUAUAAUCAUACAUGCAGGAUAUCGCCUCUAACAAUAGGCAUGUAUAUUUAUAUAUUUAAAGAUGUACCAAUGAUUAGCAUUGUCCCUAAUGAUGUGUCUCUACAAGAUCUGAGAGUGGAGGAAAGCAUGGAAAAGGAGGGGCAUACAUUUGCCUCAAUGUCAGCUGAUAAGAAAAGCGUGAGGAAUGCCAAAAGAAGAGCAAAUUACCAUCACUCAAAGUGCCAGGAAGAGGCAAUCUUCCUUGAUGUAGAAAAACCUAAUCUCGCCUUCACUGGUAUGCAUGUUAAUUUUUGCCUACAAAAUUUGAUGGAGUUCCAGCGACUUGCAAUUAUUCUAAUUUUGCGCUACAAGCAGGAGAAAUUGGAUAUAGACAAUCUGUGGUAACGGCAAACAUUGCAACUCCAGAUGCAUGUUUGAAAUUGUACUGCCUAUGUUUAAAAUUUUAUUUAAGCACAUGGAUGCGUAUAUAAGUUUUUUUAAUAAGGUGACCAACAUAUUGGAGUAGAGGUGUCUCCGGAGGAACUGAAGAGGUUAAGAGAAAGGAAAAGAUAUGUUGAACUAUCUGACUUUGAAAGACAACAAAAAAUAUUAAAAAAUAACAAUGGACGACACAAUAAAAUUUCUAAACAAGGUACUAUAUUUGAGCUAUUUUCUCAAAUUCCAUUAAUUGUUUUAUACUAUAUAUAAUUAUGUUGUUCCAUUUUUGGGCGAAUGUUUCAGAUAUAGGGUUACAAACCCCUAUUGGAACAUUGCAGUCUGCGGUAACCCAGUUAGGGUCUGGUCCAAGAACAAGGGGUUCUAUUAAUAAUGAAAAUGCCGAACCUAAUCAAUCUGGUUUAUAAGAACCAGACAAUCCAUUGCACGGAAUAGAAGGUAACUUUAAAUCACUUGGUCUUGUCUAUGAUUUUCAUUGUACGUUGACAAUAUCCCAAUUAAUAUAUUGUAUUCUAUUCUACAAUGAAACAGAGAACAAUUUAGAUGAGAUGGAUCCUGACCAAGAAGGAGAUGAUAAGUUAGAUGAUGGUGAAGCGAGGGUAUUUUACCAACGAGGUAUGUUAUAUAUUAUUGAAAUGAAUGUAACUUUCCUCUCGCAACAAGAUGGUUUAUAAUUAAUUAUUGGUUUAUGGCAGAUAUCCAUUACAAGUAUUAUAGAGAUCUGGAUAUGGCUUCUAAGGGUCCUGAACCAUUUGAUGGAGUGUACAUGAACCUUCCUAAGAAGCAUCAUGUGUUGAAGAAGGCCAAAAACUGUGAGUUCUGCAAUGCGAAGAAGUUCCUUGGUGAAAGACCUGCUUUAUGUUGCAGGAAUGGGAAGGUCCACAUAUAUGUCCCAGAAGUUUUGUCUGAGCUUCGCCGGUUAUUUACGAGUCAAACGGAUAGGGAUGCAAGGUAUUUCAGAAAGCACAUAUGGUACUUCAACUCACAUUUCUCUUUCACCAGCUUUAGGUUUUCCAUUGACCGUCAUCUCGCGUAUGCAAGAGGUAAUGGUGUGUAUACCUUUAAGGCACAUGGCCAGAUUUACCAUAAGCUCGAUCCACUUGUGCCGGGUGGGAAAGGGCCACGCCAUAUGCAGCUCUACAUUUAUGACACGGAUGAUAGUAUUGGUUAUCGUGUUAAGACAUCCCCUAAUCUUGAUGAGAACCGGAUCCGCUUGAUCCGUGGUAUUUUACGGGACAAUCCGUACAUCCAAGUGUUCACAAGCCUAGGUACUCUUGCAGAUAUUCAAGAGUACAUGAUUGAGUUGAAUACCAAGAUUUCUAUUGAUUAGAGGAGAUACAAUGCACCCAAAAUGGAGCAGAUUGCGGCUAUCUAGGUUGAUGGCAAUAACUCUCAGCAUAGGUUCUCCCGGAGCAUUGGAUAUAUGGAAAAUGAGAUGAUCCGUACUAUAUUAUGGCGUACCAUGGCUGUUAUGACCCAUUGGCAUAUCCUUUGUUUUUCCCUUGUGGCGAGACUGACUGGGAGGACAAGACGAUAGUGUUUCGAGAUCCACCACCAUCAAAGCCAAAGUGGAAGUAUACUAAGCGUAACAGGAAAAGGUAUGCGUAUUCCACCAUUCUUUCGUACUUCAUCCAUAGAUUCAUUGCACUCACUAUAUGAAAUCUGAUGAUUUAUGCUGCAACAUAGAUGGAACUGAAGCCGAUGUGGGUGAUCGUACAAACAAUGACCACUGUGUCGUGCAAGGACGUAAAAAAAGAGUCGCUCAUGGUAUGUACUAUUUUUCUUGUGCUUUCAUACACACUUCACUUUGCUGUAUUUGUAAAGUAUUUAUUUACUUUUGCCUCAUAGAUCCGCAUAUUGAUGAAGCAGAUGACACAGCAUAUGGUGACUACAUCAAUGAGGAGGUGUGUAUGCAGAUAUGCCAUAUUAUAUCAUUCACAAAUUUAAGAUUGAAAAGUAAGAGCGUCGGAGGAGAGGAGGUGGAGCGGUGGCGGCGGUGGAAGAGAGGAGGGGGUAGCGGCGCUAGCACCGGAGGAGAGGAGUGGCGAAGCGAUACCGGCGGUAGAGAGGAGGAGAGGUUCGAGAGAGGCAACAGGCAGGUGGCGGCGGGAGAGAGAGGAGGGGUAGUGGUGGUUAGGGUUUAGAUUUAGUUUUAUGUGGGGUGGAGGGUAACGGGCCAAUACAGGCCGGCACCCUAAAAUCGUGCCGGGCCGGGCCGCCCGUCGUGCCGAGGUGGCGGCCCACGCCCGGCAUGAGCCAUUAGGCUGAGCCAGCCCGAGCUCAAAGAGUUACGGGCCGGGCCAGGCUUAGGACGGGCCAAAAAACCGAGUUUUGUGUUGGGCUGUCAGGCUGCUGGCUGCAUGGACUAUCUAUACCCUAAAUGAAACUUAAUUAAACCAUGGAUGUAAUAAUUAAUAAGUAGAAGGAAAAAAAUCAAACUCAAUUAUGUAUUAAAUUCAAUGAGAUUCAUCAAUUAAAACUAUGGAUGUAAUAAUUAAUAAGUAGAAAAAAUAUAAUCAAACUCAAUUCUAUAUUACAUUAAAAUGAUAAACAUAGCAUUGUAAUGGUUAUAAUAUGACCAUAGAAUUUUAUUUAAAAAAAUAAUCCAUCUUUAGUUAUUUUCUCUCUCUUCUAGGUCUAGAUCUUGAUCUAGAUGACAACCUAAUGAAGCUAGAAAUGAUGUAUAGAAGUUGAAAAUGAAGGUUGGAAUGGCACAUACUUACCUUUUAUAGCCACCUCCUCCAAAGAAAACAAGAGCUCCAAAUGGAAGGUUGGCUGGUGAAGAAGCUGUUCGCGACUUUAUCUGGGCGGCAUCUGUGCUAGCGGGCCACCUAACGCACCCGCCAGCACAUAUGCAUCCCAUGUGUGCUGGCGGACGCUUAGCUCGCCCGUCAGCACAGAGCUGGCUCUGUGCUGGCAGGCACUAGCCCGGUGGCCCCGAUCAUCUUUGUGCUGGUGGGUGCCAAUUUCACCCUUCAGUAUGCUAAUUUUGACGUGCCAACACAAAUCAUUUUCGGGGUAGCGUUUCUCUUGGCCCUGAUCUUGUGUGGUUGUGUUGGUACUUGGUACUCGGUAUGGCCUGGCACUGGCACCGCAUUGGGUCGGCUUUUAUAGGAGCUCAACACGCGUAGUCAUGGGCUCGCUCAUGGCAUUGAUGGAAGAAGAAUUUGCGCAGUAGGGUAGUGCAGGGGCUGCAGGCUGCUCAGCUGAUGGGCUCGGACCGUCGGACGUGGUCAGUUGCUUUAGUUUUUGAGUGAUCGAGUCCACUAAUGUCUCGAGCAUCAUCGAGAACAAUUCUGGUGCUCAAACCCCUUGAGGUAGUACUCCCGAGUGACAAAUAAAAAAAGAUCAUAUCCUUCGCAAAAGAAAAGGAAAAAAAGCUGAGAGUGGAAAAUCAACCGAUAAAAGAGGCGAUUAGAAAUUUGCAGACCGGCAGUAGUGAAUUGUUAAUGCGCCUUGCGUUGUGAUUAAUUAAAUACACGAAAGGCUGCUUGUACAAUCAGGAAAAAUUGCCCUCCUGGCACUCACUGGCAAAACCACGGAUCGGAGCUGCUUCCCUGGGGCAAAACGAUUUCCUCGCAUGCAUGCUGGAGAGCAAGACCGGAUCGUUCACCCUCUAGCCGUGAUAUCUUGCUCCAUGAGGGAUCUCUGCUAGCUCUACAAGCUUGGGCGCGCGCCAUGGCUGCCAUGAUGCCCAGCAGCCGGUCCGGGUCCGCCCCUUCACCUGCGACGACGACAGAUCACAGAACGGCGAGCCGAGGCGGGGAGAGAGAGCGAGAGCGUCACCAGAUGCAACGUGGCGCAGGAAGCGAGGCAUGCAUCCAGGAGGAAGAAGAAGGAGAUCGGGAUGGUCAGACUCAGACAGGCGGCGGCGGCGCUCCGGCGAGCCGUGGCGUGAAGCAGAGGCGGCGUACCAUGCGACCUAAGGAGCGGUCGUUGUUUCAGAAAAUACCGUCCACCCCUUGGGAGCCUGUGAACCGUCCGGUCGAGCCUGUGUGGCCCAGAAUAGACCCACGGCGGGAGGCGCCUGCCUCGUCAGGCUCGGAUGACGGGCGCGUACAUGGCGGCCCGCCGAGACUGAAGAAGCAGAGGAUGUCUGGCUCGCUUGCCCGGGCUUCGAGCACCAGUGGCGGCGGCGCGAUUCUACACGUGUUCGUGUAAAUGCCUCACUACCGCAACGAUUUCGGUGGGGGAUGCAAACUCGCGCAGGUCCCGCCUCCCGCCCCGAUUACGCUCUCGGAACAAAAACAAAAGGAAAACAGUAGCAGCACAGAGCGUGCCUCGAAACCUUUUAUUCAUGUCACGGUCUUAUUCUUGUAUGUAUACAUAAAGUGCAUGCAGUGUGCGUACACACACUCAUGUGACCGUGCACACCGUACACAUAGCUAGCUAGCUGUCAGGACGCAGGAAGCAGCUGGCAGCGCUGCGUUCCUGACGAUGACCGUGAAGUUCACCUCGAUCGUCCGAUCCGCGUUCAGGCGUAGUACUCGCCGGUGCACGAGUCGUAGCGCUUGCUCUCGCACGCGUCGUAGUGGCGCCCGCCGUGGCCGUAGCCGCCGUGCCCGUGCCCGUGCAGGUGGUGCUGCUCGCGGUGCUCGCCGAGGUGGCCGUGGCAGGACCCCUCGUGCCCGGCGUAGCCACCGACGUGGUGGUGGUGGUGGCUGCCGCUGCGGCCGAGGUGGCCGCCGCCGUACUGACCGUGGCCGUGGCCGUAGUGGCCCCUGCCGGCGCGCGCCACCUCGUCGAUCUCCUCGUACUCCUUGCGGACGGCGUAGCGCUCGCCGCCCUCGCCGUAGCGGUACCCGGGCUCGGCGUACGGCCUCCUCACGUCCUCCGCGCAGUAGCCGGACUCCGAGUAGUACGCCAUGGCGGCGGUGAUGCCCUGGUGUCAGCUAGCUGAUCAGUUCGUUGCAGUGAACGGACUUGUGUGCGCGGUGAUCUGCAAUGCUGAGACCUGAUCGAUCGAUGCAGGAUAUAUACAUGGACUGGCUCUGCUUUUAUAGGGUGCAAGCAAAGCAACUCAUCCUCAUGCAUGAUUCAGAUGGAAGAAAUGCUCUGGUAAGGACGUGAGGAUGGAUGCAUGAGUGGAGCAGGGAACUUGUUCUGAAAGAUACGUGCGCGCUCACUGCUUUCUGCCGAGCCGUGCCACCUGCACGUUGGGAUCGAAGGUGGAAGAAAACUCGAGACGCGUUUUUACACAGACCGAUCGAUGCCCGGGAAUUUCUUUGAUUGAGAUAAAAAGCUUGAAGCAAGCUACGGGUUGAAGGUUGAAGCAAAGUAGAGUGUAAAUGGAAUAACAAAAGAGCGGCAGAUAUCAAGAUAUGUCCAAUAACAGUUUUGUUCAUGACAAGUAGAAACGAAAAGGAAGGGGACAUGAACUGAAUGAUGGAUCUGGCGUCAGCUGGUAAACUACUGAAAUACAUAGUUUUGGUGUGCAAGAUUUUUUUUUUUGGCAUGAAGCAUCUCACUGUUACUUUAAUCAAUAUAUUUCAGGUUCAAGUGAUUUUGCUGCAGCUUUUGUCCAUUGGUCAUUUAAUUCUUUUCUUUGUACUGCAAGGCUGUUUAUUUGGAUUUUGGUUAUCCUGAAUUCCUGAUCCACCAUCCAUCUACUAACCUAUAAUCUGUUUGUUUUUUUUUUAAAAAAGAUAACCUUAUCUAUCGUAUAACGCUCACAAUGAUAUGCACCCCACCAGUGUAUUCAAGAAGAAGAAAGAGAGUCCAAGAGAGACAUUUGCCCAUUUCCACCAUCAUAUAAUAAGUGAAAACGCACAUCAUCUAAACGACUCAAGUUACACAAUCAAACAAAAGAAUACUGGCCUCAACACGCGAGUGAAGGUUUUACUGAUUUAACACCAUUUAUGUUCAGUUAGGCGACCACUGUCACUUUUUUAUGCAUCUGCAGAAAAACAUGUUCUUCUUUUCCCCUUUUGAGGAACAGCAAUAAACAUGUUAAUACGAGUUACACUAGAUAUCCAGAUCGACGUGUCAUUUGAGUUUUGUGUAUCCAUGAUCCAUGCUUCAAGCUCUAGUUACUAUACACUAUGGUCCUCUAAUAUUCAGAUCAUGAGCUAUAGUGCAAAACCAUUUUGCUGCGUAGAGUUAGAUCUUCCCAUUCAACCAAAGCAGGCAUUUUUGCAGGUUUCUGUAUGUCACCUGCUCCAGAAUUUAGGUUGAAGCAGAGCAACAUUGGCCCUCGAUUCGGUUUAUUUUUUAUUGACAAUCCAUGAAUUGUGGUGUUAUCACCACCAUGGUGCUCCUUUGGCGCGGCGAUACUGAACUGGAACUGGAAGCAUUUCCGUGCAAGGAUGCGCAACCGUACAGUUGCAUGCCUGGUGAAUGCGCCACGUGUACGGUACACGUUACAAUCUUUGAGUACAACAAUCUACCUGGAUGUGGUCCGAUUCACAUCACAAGCUUUUAUUCAUUUAGAUCACAAGCUUAUUAUUUUCGUAGUUCGUACACAGGCUGCGUGCAUGCACACACACCACCGUCAAAGUACGUACACACAUACAUACCCGGCCGGCCGGAUACGGUAUACGCAAACUUAUACUAGCAUCGUACAUAUGGGGGAGCACACACGCGCAUACGUGACACGUGGCUCAGAUCCAGCAGAUACGUGUUCGUUGAUGGAGCUCGCGUGAAGCCGGUUAGUCGUCGGCCCUGACGGCGAAGUUCUCCUUGCGCUCGUGGAACUCGCCGGUGCGGGUGUUGAUGUCCUCCUCGAACUUGCUCUCGCGCGCCUCGAAGUGGCCGUGGUGGCGGCCGGUGCGCGAGACCUUGUCGACCUCCUCGAACUUCUCCUUGACGACGUGCUGCUGGACGCCGCCGUGGCGGCCGAAGCCGGCCGGGCUCGCCACCGACCUCACCUCCUCCGAGCUGUAGUCCACCUCCUGGUAGUGAGCCAUUGGCGAUGCUUGGGGUUUGGGUGUUGGGUGUAGUGCCUGUGACUUGAAAGUGCUUGUGAAUUGUAUGGGAUGACUUGUGUGCUGGAUGCUAGGGUUGGGGCCGGGGUGCGCUUUUAUAACGCCUGGAAUGAAGCGCAUGAGUGGAGGGAGGAAUAAUCGGUGCGAAAGAAACCUGUGUGCAGCUGCUUUAUUGAUUAUUGUGUGUUUUUUCUUCGCUUUUUACCGUUCAUCUAGAGGAAGUGUUUGGACUGUACUGGCCAAGUUGAUGUUAGGAUGUCUAGGGCAUUUUUAAGUGCAAUUUACAUGUUCAUAUAAAGUUCAAUUGUAUUCUAAUUAACAUCAUAUAUGCAGUUCCAUUGUGUUGGGAUAUUUGUGUGUACUGUGUUUUCAAAAAAGAACAAAUAUUUGUAAGGAGUCAUCGAAGAGCUAUAGUCACCCUGCGGGCUGGGGCUAGUGUGCAAAAGGAAAAACAAGACAUGUAUUAUGAAAAAUAAGAAGAAGAAAAGACAGACAUAGGUACGCAGUGCAUAUAAUCAUUAAAAUCAGCUGCUUGUUAUAAAACGUGAGUUCAAUUCCAUUAAAAAGGGAAAAACGGAUAUGCAAUUAGCAAGCAAAAAAGUUCGGCUCAUCUCAAAUCCUCUUCUUCUUAUUAAGUCACCUUGGACAGAAGAAGUCACCGGCCGCGUUAGGUAAGAAUAUACUUAUCAGUUGUCAAGUCGGAAUAUAUACUUGCGUCUCGGCCUGCACCUCGUUUCACUUCACCAUGGAUGGAGACCGCAAGACGCCAUAGCCGCACCGGACAGCGCGUUGCUUGUAUGUGAAAAAGAAUCACAAUUCCUUCAUCCAUGUCCAUAACAAGGAGGGAAAGGGGAGGUGCGUAUAAGGUGUAUGGAUAUGUUUACUACAGUUUGUAAAAUGUGUUUGGAAAACUAAGUGAUUAUAUUGUUUACACUUGUUACUCUAUCAAAAUUCCUUGGUUUAUAUAAGCGGUAAUAUUCACCAGAAACGUUAAACUAAAAUUUUUCAAUCUUACUAUUGCUAAUUGAAGAUUCCUUUUUGAAAACUUCACGUUAAUCCUCACGUGAAGCGUUAGAAAAAAAAUAAAUUUUAGAAAUUUUUAUAAAAUUCAGAAAUAUCGGACCAUCAAUUAGGUAGACCCUAAUCAUCUUAGCCAUUAGAUCUAUUAUGCUUUCUAAGAAAUUACCCACCUCUACCAUUAUAAAAUAGUCUAAGGUAUAUAUGUAUUGUGAGCAACUCCAACAAUAGCUCUCAAAUCAAAACUCCCAAAGGUGAAAUGGGGUUCUCUCUAUUUUUUUACAGACCCAGCAAUAGCCCCGUGAAUAGAGAGCUCCCUAGAGGCACCCUAGGAAUGGAAGGUGGAGGGGAGAAUUUGGAGACCUCAUCAAAAUAGAAAGCUUACUAGAGGGUUCUGCUGAAGUGCAAUUUUUUUACUUGACCCUCUAAACUUGGGUUAGGGGGUAUUUAGAGCUACGUGGAGUUGCUCUUAGAAUAUUUACGAAUGAGGGACAACGCAAAGUUAUUAGCUACAGAUCCUAAUGUUUUUUUUAAAAAAACUAAUACUUAAGUCUUUCAAACUAUUAGCACCAGCGGGAGUACAAGUUGAUGUUUCAUAUAAUUUUAAUAAAAAUUGUAUGGCGGACCAAGCGUGUACUAGACUACUAGUAAAUGUGUGUUGACAUGAAAGCACAAGCAAAGAUCAAUCAACUGGCCAACGGCAAGAUCAGACUGUAAUCACCUGCUACUAGCAUGGGCGGAGGCCAGUGCGCAUGCACAUCUCAUCGAUAGGCCUGGAUAAUUAAGGUGGUGUUUGGUUGAGCGGUGGUUUUUGAAAAAUCUGCUGUGAGUUGUGGGUUGUAAAAAAGCAGCUGUGCGAAAGUAGCUGUGGAAAAAAUAGAAGGCCGUUUGGUUAGAGCAACUGUGAAACUGUAGGUCGUGAGGGUUUGCUUAUAUACAAAUUACUCAUAAUAAAAUAAUGUGUUCACUAAUUCGCAUGUAAAUGACUAUUUUAGAAAUGAAAAAAUAAAUUUUCUAUGUUUUCCUCAAUCAAAGUGCAGAACAAUAUCCAUCAAAAAUCUUAUACAACAAUUAUCCAGGUAUUGAUUGGGCUAUCGGCCAAUUCAACAAAGCAAUUGGUCCACAAUAGCUACUACUUGUACUCUCUCCUAGCAGCUAAAACAUCAGCAUCCUUCGGAACAAAUUCUGUUGCCACGUCGAUCCAAAUUCCCCAUCCUUUUCAGGGGUUCACUUCUUGACAAGAUCAGAUGCUUGAGUCGGUUGAAAUGUACCUAGUUAAUCCAAUACGACGCAUCAUAUUUCACUCAUGCGCCAUGCUCUUGCCGACGAUGCCUUUACCCUGCAAAUGCUCCAUCUUCAUCAUUUCCCCGGUGGACACCACUGUGGGCAAUGCAUCGCAGGAGGAUCCUUUAUGCCUCUCCCCGUAUCGGCACUAGUGUCAACCCCGAACCACCUCGCCACCCCGAGCAACACCAGGGCCGCAACGGCAUCCACGAUGUGCACAGACAGGGAUAGGUCCAUGACGGAGACGGCCCUUAGCCUUGCCUCCUCCACCUUGCAUCGCGUGGCGGGUGUCGUGGUGCCACCGGUGUCCAGGAGGCGGUGGCACCCCGCGGGCACGCAUGCGUCGACGUAGAGGCUGAGCCCAGUCUGCGCCGCCUAGAGCCCACCCACGGCGCCCACGCAAGCGAGCCCCGCCUCGACGACGAAGUGGGCUGCCGCCGCCACCGUGCCCCUCGACGCGGAAGCGGAGAGUGAUGAGGUGAGGGAUGUCGCGGCGGCGACGAGGAGGAGGAGGUGCGUGACGGGGUGCGGGGGGCGGCAGGCAGCGACCGGCGGUUGGGUGGGGGCGCCUAGUGUGGGAGUUGGACGGGUGCGCCUAGUGCAAAGUCUGACAGAAAUAGAACGGUGAAAACAAACCGAUAUCUCAUAAUCAGUGGUAGGUGGGUAAUUUUUUACCCCAAAAGCAGCUGAAAGUAGGGGGUAUGGUGCUUUUGGUUUUGCAUCUUUUGGCCUAAAGCAUUUGUAGCUUUUAGGCUCUUUGGUUAGUUUUUAGCUUUUGCAAAAGUAAAAACCUGUUGGAAAGCUUAACCAAAGACACCUCGAAGACGGCCACACACGAGCCAUGGAAAAACUGAAUGCGGCAGGAACGAAGCUGAGCCGGCGUCCGUCCGCGGGCAGGAUGCCGAUGAUGUCGAGCUCACGGCCGUACGGCCUGUGCAGCAGAGGAGCUCGGUCGGCGUUGCUGUGGGAGCCCAGUAGCUCACAGUGGAGGUCGUCAUCGACGGCGCCGGCGAGCCACGCCGGCCUGUGCAGCAGCACGGUUUACGGGUCCUAGAACGCGCGAUUAGCUGGUUUGAGCUCGCCGUCGAGUCAAUGGCGGCGUGGUUAUGGUCCACGAUCCAGGCCGGGUGGCCAGCGGCGAGAGGCGCCUGACCCCGGAAGAUGUGACGAACCCUUACCGGCGCCUUGAUUGCCUAAUCCGCAAUGUUAGGAGUUGCAAAGUUGGUCAGCUAAGAAGAUUGGCUCCAUUCGGCUGCACUUCUCGUCGCCAAGGAGGUUAUCCUGCAGCUGGACCGGGCACAAGAGCUGUGUUUGCUAUCAGAAGAGGAACGCGAGCUGCGGAGACAGCUAAAGGUACAACUCUGGGCCUCGCUUCACUGGAACGAACAAUCGCCAGAUAGCGGUCGCGCGUCCUCUACCUGAGCGAAGGGGACGCGAACACGAAGUUCUUCCACCUGCAUGCAAAUGGUCGGCGACGAAAGAACCACAUCACUAAACUACAGACAGGGAAUGGCAUGGUGUACACAGCAGAGGAGAUGGCUGACAAGCUCCACACCUACUUCGAUGGAGUUCUUGGACAGGAUCACAGGAGAGGGAUAGGCAGACCACGCUGAACCUGGAGGCAUUGGGGAUCUUCCCGAGAGAACUCCCUGGCCUGGAGGAGCCAUUUACUGAGGAUGAAGUGUGGCAAACAAUCCGGGCCAUGCCGCCGGACAAGUCGCCGGGGCCAGACGGUAUGACGGCGGCGUUCUAUCAAUCAACCUUGUCUAUUAUCAAAGAUGAUUGUGCUGAGAGCGGUGAAUGCUUUCUUUGUGGUGGAUCGACGAGGUUUCCGGUGCAUCAACGGGGCGCUCCUCACGCUGAUUCCUAAAAAAUCAGAUGCUCAAGCACCGAAGGACUAUCGCCCUGUAAGCCUAAUUUACAGUUUCCCAAAACUGCUCGCCAAGCUGCUUGCUAAUCGCCUCAGCCCUACAUGAACGAGCUUGUUCUCUGCAAUCAGAGCGCCUUCAUCAAGGGGCGGUCCAUUCUGGACAACUACAAGUAUGUUCAGAGAUCAGCGGCCAUCCUCCGGAAGCGGAAAGUGCCCAAGUUGUUGCUAAAACUUGAUAUUUCGAAGGCCUCUGACACGGUGGCGUGGCAGUUCGAGCUGGAGGUCCUGCAGGCAUGGGGUUUUGGAUCGAGAUGGCGCGAUUGGAUUUCUCUAUUGCUGUCCACGGGCCACGGCAACUACACGUGUGCUGCUCAACGGCCAGGCAGGGCUGCCGAUUGAGCACCGUCGCGGUCUCAGGAAGGAGAUCCACUCUCCCCAAUGUUGUUUGUGCUGGCAAUGGAUGCUCUCAACCGGCUCUUUAACAAGGCGGAUACUGAUGGAGUGCUACAGCCGCUUGGGGUGCCAUGCAUCAAGCACCGCUGCAGCAUGUACGCGGACGAUGUGAUCCUAUUGGCAGCACCAACUGCGGGGGAAGCAAGGGCUAUAACUUCUCAAUCUCUUUGGAGAUGCAUCAGGAUUGCAAACGAACUUAGAAAAGUGUUCAAUCACACCAAUCUACGGCUGUGAAGAAGUGCUGGAGAGCUUACAGCCAGUGAUGCCAUGUGCAAUCAAGGAGUUCCCCAUCACGUACUUGGGAGCGCCACUGUCUGUCAGAGCAUUGCCAAAAUCUCAGUUUAUGCCGAUUGUUGAGGAGGUUGCAGCAAAAUUACCAGCUUGGCAGGGACCCUUAAUGAAUAAGAGUGGACGCCUCACCCUUGUGAAGUCCACCCUCUCUACAAUGCCCAUUUACUUGAGCAUGUCUGACAAGAUGCCAAGAUGGGCUCUCAAGGAGUUGGACAGUAUCAGGCGAAACUUUCUGUGGAAUGGCACUGACAGGGCAGUAAGAGGGAAGAACGCAGUGGCCUGGCCAACUGUCUGCCGGCCUACAUGCUACGGAGGGCUCGGGGUGAUCGACUUCAAGCUAGCUGGCUUUGCCCUACGGACGCGUUGGCUCUGGCUACAGAAAACGGACGACGAGCGUUCGUGGGCUGCAGUACAAAUCAAGGUGCAGCCGGAGGUUCGCGCAUUCUUCAGCGCCUCUGUAACGGUGACUGUACGCAAUGGAGAGAGAAUUAUUCUGGUUAGACAACUGGAUUGAUGGGCAACCCGUCUCCCACCUGGCGCCUAACCUCCUUCAGACGGUGCCUGCACGAGUGAGGAACGGCAGAACGGUGGCGCGAUCGUUGCCGGAGCGGAGAUGGACGCAAGACAUUCGAGGACGUCUGUCAGUACAGGUACUGGUGGAAUACAUAAACCUUUGGGAGCGCAUCUCCGACUGACAGCUCAUGGAAGGUGCGGGACGUUUGCCGCUGGCGAUGGACCGUCGAUGGCAGCUACACGGCAGCUUCUGCAUAUCUCAAAAUGCACGAGGGAAGCAUCAAACUACGAGGUGCGUCGAGAAUUUGGAAGAAUUGGGCGCCGCCGAGGGUCAAGUUCUUUUCCUGGCUAGCAACGAAGAAGCGCAUAUGGACAGCUGACCGCCGCCGCCGGCAUGGGCUGGAUGCUCAUGACAAAUGUUGGCUCUGCGAUCAGGAACUGCAGACCACAUCUUGGUCAGCUGUGCCUACGCCAAGCAAAUUUGGUGGAAAGUCACGACGACGAUGCAUUGCAGCUGCAGUUUUUCCGCAGGGCACAUUCCAUGCAGAGCUGGUGGGCAAAUCUAAGGAAACAGCAGCCGAGAGCGAAGAGGAAGGGCUUUGACACCCUAUUCAUGCUUAUAAUUUGGAGUAUUUGGAAAGAGCGCAAUGCAAGGCUCUUCAACCAAAUAUCAUCCGCUGGCCAUGAGCUCACUGAGCGCAUUCUGCAGGAGGCUGAGAUAUGGAUCCUUGCGGGUGCUUGGCGAUUAGGUAGUAUCCGGCAUGAGUAGUACCAGUUAGAGGAGGCCUCUGGCCAUUAGGUUGUAGUCUGCAUACGGCGUAUGCAAGGUUUUGGCGUGUGCUCCGUCUCCGCCGAUUUCUGUAAAAAGUUUUUAAAUUCUCUUCUUAAUACAAUGAUACAAAUGAUGCGCAGCUCUCCUGCGUAUUGGAGAGAGAAAAGAGCGCCUGACCCGGCCACCCCUGGGUUUCUUGCAACUGUCAGAUCGGACAUGUGCGGCCACGGUCGCCUUGACCUCGCAAAUAUUCAUGUGGUGCCUUCGCUCGACCACCGUUGUCCUCGACGACGGGCUGCAUGCGCUCCGAGCCUCUGAUGAACCGCGCGCUGCCUGACGAGCCAGAGUCCAGUGGCCGCGAGAAUCACUUCUGAUGGUUGCGAGAGCAUCGUAGGCAGGUGUGGUGCUUAUCUCGCGAGAUAACAGAAGCGGCACGGUGCGGCGGUGCCAUUGCCGGCCGGCGCGGUCCUAGGCGUUCUGACUUCUGCGGCGUGUCUGCCUGCGGCGAAGGCGAGGGCCAUCGCGAUUACGAGUAGGAUGCUGCUACUGCUAGAGAGUGUUGGGCGCGCGGCACCGUGGCUGACUUCGGCCGCAACGUUGGCUCGGACGCCACGGCUGCUGUGCUGCCUCAGCUAGCCAGCGUGCGCUCGCCGUCGCCGGCGCCAUCGACGGCACCAAAGGCAAUCGAUGCUGACGCCCGCCAGCAGCACACCGGCAAUUGCAAGUCUGUCAACCGUCGCAGGGGAAUAUUUGCGCCGCCGGCCGCUGCCUCCUUGGGCGCUGCGCCGCGCAUCGGAGCGGCGGAGCCCAGCGCGUCGUCGAGGACUGCAGUCAAGCGAGGAAGGCGGAAAAGUCUAGCUCCAUUGACUUGAUCGCUGCCGCCCACGUGAGAUCCAACGGUCUAAAUAGGCCCAGAGUGGACGGUAAAUGAAAUACCGUCCACCCCCGUGUCUCUCUUCCACCGCGCGUCGAGCUCCGAUGACGAUCCGCGCGCCGCCCAACUUGGCAGAGUCCGGUAGCCGCAAGAAUCUUCGCCGACGAUGGUUGUGAGGACACGAGGGAGAUGCUUAUCUCACCGUACCAGAGAAGUGGAACGAUACGGUGGUGCCGUGGCUGGCGCAGCCCAGGCGUUGUGACUUCUGCGGCGUGGCUGGCUUCGACCGCCCGCGAUCAGGGAGAGACUCAAUGACGCGGUGGCAUCCAUGGGUAGAGCACCGCCGACGAGCGCUCGCGAGAACCCCGUGGACGGCGCCAAUGUCGAUUCGGAUGCCUCGGCAAGGUCACUGGCGCCGAUGCAUGGACGGCUACAGCCUACAGCCAUCAUCACAAUGCAAGGACGGCAAGGAGGCUGCCAGUUCUGGGGUUUGGGGGCAAACGUUUUUUGCCCCCAAACGAAUCGAAUGUUCACUUUGGAGUUGGGUCGGCGCAGCAAUAUACAUGCACGUAGUACACGGAGAAGCUUUAUUCAGGUCACGAGCUUAUUUUCGUAGUACGUACAGAGGCUGCGUGCAAGCACGCCAGCAAAGUACGUGGAUAAGGUAGACCUCGCACACACAAACUUACAAUUUCAUACAUACGGAGGACAUGCACAUACACGUACGCGAUACCUGCCUCCGGCCCAAUCCAGAUACGUGCGUCGUCGUCGAUCGAGCCCGCGUGAAGCCGAUCUCAGUCGGACCUGACGACGUAGCUCUCCUUGCGCUCGUGGAACUCGCCGGUGCAGGUGUUGAAGUCCUCCUCCACCGUGGUCUCGCGCAUCACGAAGUUGCCGGAGCCGUGGCCGUGGCCGUGGUGGCCGUGGUGGCCGUGGUGGCCGUGGUGGCGGCCGUGGCUGCCGGUGCGGGAGACCCUGUCGACCUCCUCGAACUUCUCCCUGACGACGUGCUGCUGGACGCCGCCGUGGCGGCCGAAGCCGGCCGGGCUCGCCACCGACCUCACCUCCUCCGAGCAGUAGUCAACCUCCUGGUAGUGAGCCAUUGGUGAUGAUGCUUGGGUUACUUGUUCAGUGCCUGUAUGCCUUGAAGUGCUUGUGAAUUGUGUGA